rnacentral:lncRNA from 1 species
CACCAAUCCAGUCAUCCACUCCAGUUUUCCCCUUGGUCACCCCAAGAAUCAGCAUUCCAUUCCCUGGCCACCACAGGCUUUUUGAUAUAUCAUAAUUCAAAGCUGCAUUCAGUGCACCUUCAAAAGUCCCUGUGCUCUAUCAUAGUUUCAACAAUGUUUUAAAAGUUUAAACUUCGGUGUGUCUUUGGAGACACAUCAAUCUCUUGUCUGUAAUGCCCUGUAGGUAGAUCAUGUACUUCUAACACACAAUGGCACGGAAUAUACAAUAACAUUCCAGAAGGAAAGAAAGGAAGCACAGUGAGGAAGCACUACAAGACGGAACAACUCCAAACUCUGAAUCUCCAUGUCUGAUAUCAAAGCGCUCUCGAGGUCCCCAACUUCUUUCAUCGUUGCUGAAUGCAACACAUUUUUUUUUCUCCUUUUGGAUUGAUUUUACACUCUGUUGGCAGCUAUCCUCAGCAGAC